rnacentral:rRNA from 1 species
UGGGGAAUAUUGGACAAUGGGCGAAAGCCUGAUCCAGCCAUGCCGCGUGUGAAGAAGGCCUUUUGGUUGUAAAGCACUUUAAGUGGGGAGGAAAAGCUUGUGGUUAAUACCCAUAAGCCCUGACGUUACCCACAGAAUAAGCACCGGCUAACUCUGUGCCAGCAGCCGCGGUAAUACAGGGGGUGCAAGCGUUAAUCGGAAUUACUGGGCGUAAAGCGCGCGUAGGUGGUUAUUUAAGUCAGAUGUGAAAGCCCCGGGCUUAACCUGGGAACUGCAUCUGAUACUGGAUAACUAGAGUAGGUGAGAGGGGAGUAGAAUUCCAGGUGUAGCGGUGAAAUGCGUAGAGAUCUGGAGGAAUACCGAUGGCGAAGGCAGCUCCCUGGCAUCAUACUGACACUGAGGUGCGAAAGCGUGGGUAGCAAACAGGAUUAGAUACCCUGGUAGUCCACGCCGUAAACGAUGUCUACCAGUCGUUGGGUCUUUUAAAGACUUAGUGACGCAGUUAACGCAAUAAGUAGACCGCCUGGGGAGUACGGCCGCAAGGUUA